UAUGGGUCAGGAGAAUAGGGAAAUAAGUGCAAAUCUUAUACGGUCCCGCCGCUGUGUUGGCCAAGUUGUAUCAGUUUUAUGCCACUGUGUGUGUUCUCACAUGGGAAGGUUUGAUACAAUGAUGACGCCUGAGUCAGAAGACCUGCCUUUUACGUUG
rnacentral:ncRNA from 1 species